CUUGGCAAGGCAGCGCGGACUCCCGGGAAGGGUGGCGAGCGGUCCCGCCCGGUGGGAAGACCACCCGGAGGAGGCGCUUCUGGCUCCAGCCAUGCCUGGCUUCCUUACGCAGCUCUCCGGCCACCGCGGCCUCCUGGGAACCUCCCCCGAGGGUUCACACGAGUCCACACAAGCAGGGUAAACGGCUCGAGGAAGCCCCGGUGUCCUCAGGCUGUCGCCGGGCCGGGGAGGAAGCCCAGAGCUCUGGUUCCCACUCGCCUGGGAUUCCCCCGCCCCCCGGCCCGGUUCUCCUGGCGCUGGGUGUGAUUUCACUCGCUCCCUUCGGUGGAGAGAGGAGCGCGCAGGCUGCAGGCGGCGGCUCGCCGCGGUCCUCGUACGGCCCACCAGGAAACCAGCAGCUGCUCCCUGCGCCGCUGCCCCAAAUGAUUUGAAUACCCCGGAGAGGGCGAGCGGCGGUCCCCGAGCUGGGUGCGCCCAGGGUGCCCUGGUGGAGUCUUUGAGGUUUUUUUUUAAAGACGAGAGUAAUCUGAUCUACUUGAAAAAUUAAGUGAAUUGACUUGGUUGGAACCCUCUUCCCAGUUCUUUAACAUCCAGCAGCAGGAUUCCCAGAAGUUGUGCAUGAGUUCCUGUGGGAGAGCUGGCACUGGGGAAGGCGAAGACGGUUGUGAUGCAGUUUUGUGAUAUGAAGAUAACAGGGCACAUAGCAUUGUGAAUUCUAUAUUUGUGUAGUGAACUUUAAAAUGACGUCUGUAUGCAGCAAUGUGGUUUAAUGGGAC